rnacentral:lncRNA from 1 species
AGAGACUCUCUGAGAAGGCUGAGUCUCGGGGACAGUCUCCUAACUGGAAGAACCGGGAGCUGAAGAAGACGACGGGUCUAAACGACUAUCAGGCUCACCGAACAUCUGUCUGUAAUGGGGAGUAAGUCUGUUCUUUCGAAUCGUCUGGAAAAAAAUAUAUUUAAAAUUAACAUCCACAAUAAUUAACCAAUUCUAUAAAUGUAGCUAAAUUCUCUAUAUUAACCACCUAAU